rnacentral:rRNA from 1 species
UACGUAGGGGGCAAGCGUUAUCCGGAUUUACUGGGUGUAAAGGGAGCGUAGACGGUAAUGUAAGUCUGGAGUGAAAGGCGGGGGCCCAACCCCCGGACUGCUCUAGAAACUAUGUUACUAGAGUGCAGGAGAGGUAAGCGGAAUUCCUAGUGUAGCGGUGAAAUGCGUAGAUAUUAGGAGGAACACCAGUGGCGAAGGCGGCUUACUGGACUGUAACUGACGUUGAGGCUCGAAAGCGUGGGGAGCAAACAGG